rnacentral:misc_RNA from 1 species
AAGUCGUAACAAGGUCUCCGUAGGUGAACCUGCGGAGGGAUCAUCUAUAAAAAAAAUAUGAUGAUGAUGAUGAUGAUGAUGUUUAUUCAUCAUCAUCAUCAUUAUUCAUAUAUUAUCCAUUAUAGGAUGUUUUGGUGUUGUUAUUAUAUAAUAUUCUUAUAAUGUUGCAGGAUGGAAUUGUGUGUAUGUGUGUGUGUGUCGGUGUUUGUGUGUGUGUUGUAUGUGUGUUUGUGUUUUAAGGAGUAUCGUUACUCUUUUUAACCUUCCCCACAUACACUCUACUCUUAUUACUACCCAUCACUACACCAAUAAAAAACCAACCAGGAUCAUAAAUUCCAAACAAAGUUUAUAACUUUUGGCAACGGAUCUCUUGGUUCUC